CUCUGACAUCCUGGAAUGACGGCUUUAAGUGGGAUCCUUCGCUCCGUGCAUUCAGAUUAUUGAAGCUUCUCGCGGAUGACUUUACGUUUCAUGUGUUUGACCGGUCUUUUAUCACUUUUGAUGAGCUACUCCGACACAGCACUACAAAUGCUGAAAUUGCCACAACCGUCCUUCGUUUUCUCCUGCAUGCAUGUUCGGUUGUUUACUA